rnacentral:lncRNA from 1 species
CUUCAUUCUGUAGGUUCUUAAUCAAGGUAGUAGCAAAUUCUCUAAGUUUUCCUCUAUACAAAUUUUGACUUGUUUGGUGUUCUUUACAUUUUUCUCAUAAUUAUUUUGUAUACUGAAAGAACAUUCCAGCCUAGUUUGCAUACAGCUCGCGCAUAUGUUUGCCACAAACAGAUGUGGGUGAGUGUGUGUGUGUUCUUACAGGUUUAAUACUUGCAGUAACUGAUCGACAGUUAUUGUGGGCAACAAGCAGGGGAAUGCUAAUCAUGGUGGUGAUGGUUUUAUAAUAGACCUGAAUCAAUUUGGCCCUACAGAUUGGAGCAACAUGCGAGAUGCCUUUGCAUCAUGUAGCUUCGUCCAUAUGAUUCAUAUUAUUUUCUUGAAUCUAUCAACUAGAGCAUUCUACAUGUAUGUGUUGCAUGUGUUCUCAUUUACUUUUUGUUGGGUAACGUAGCAUAAAUUCAAAAAAAUUCAAACGCAUAUUCAGAUCUUCAUAUGGAGAGACCAGCAACGAGAGAGGGGUGAGUGCAUCUUCAUACCUUUGAAGAUCGCUAAGCGGAAGCGUUGCUAGAGCGCGGUUGAUGGAGUCGUAUUCGCGGUGAUUCAGAUCGCGGUGUGAUUCCGAUCUAGUGCCGAACCACGGCACCUCCGCGUUUAACACACGUGCAGCCCGGUGACGUUUCCGCACCUUGAUCCAGCAAGGAGGAGGGAGAAGUUGAGGAAGAUCUCCGGCAGCACGACGGCGUGGUGUCGAUGGAGAGACGAGGUCUCCCGGCAGGGCUUCACCAAGCACCGAGGGAGAGGAGAAAGGAGGGGGCAGGGCUGUGCCGAGGGAGAGGGAAAACUGUGUGCAAAACAGCCCCAAAAUCCCCACUAUACAUAGGAGGAGUGGAGGGGGUGCCACCCCUAGGGUUCCCACCCUAGGUGGUGCGGCAGCCUCCCCAGAUGGGAGGUGCGGCGGCUAGGGUAGGGGGAGGGGGUGGCGCACCCCUAGGUGGGCCUUAUGCCCACCAGCGCCUAGGGUUUCCCCCCUUCUCCACCUCCUGCGCCUUGGGCCUCCUUGUGGGAGGCGCACCAUCCCACUUUGGGCUCGUUGCCCUCCCUAUUUUGGCCCAUGCUACCUCUUGGAGCUGGUGGCUCCUCCCGGUGGACCCCCGGGACCAUUCCCGGUGGUCCUGGUACAUUACCGGUGACGCCCGAAACAUUUCCAGUGUCCAAAACCAUCCAUCCUAUAUAUCAAUAUUUACCUCCGGACCAUUCCGGAGCUCCUCGUGACGUCUGGGACCUCAUCCGGGACUCCGAACAACUUUCGGUAACCUCGUAUAACAAUUCCCUAUAACCCUAGCGUCAUCGAUCCUUAAGUGUGUAGACCCUACAGGUUCGGGAGACAGGCAGACAUGACCAAGACACCUCUCCGGCCAAUAACCAUCAGCGGGGUCUGGAUACCCAUGGUGGCUCCCACUUGCUCCACGAUGAUCUCAUCGGAUGAACCACGUUGUCAAGGAUUCAAUCAAUCCUGUAUACAAUUCCCUUUGUCUGUCGGUAUAGAACUUGCCCGAGAUUCGAUCGUGAGUAUACCUAUACCUUGUUCACUCUCGUUACCGGUAAGUCUCUUCACUCGUUCCGUAGCACGUCAUCGUGUGACUAACUCCUUAGUCACAUUGAGCUCAUGAUGAUGUUCUACCGAGUGGGCCCAGAGAUACCUCUCCGUCACGCGGAGUGACAAAUCCCGAUCUCGAUUCGUACCAACCCAACAGACACUUUCAGAGAUACCCGUAGUGCACCUUUAUAGUCACCCAGUUACGUUGUGAUGUUUGAUACACCCAAAGCACUCCUAUGGUAUCCAGGAGUUGCACAAUCUCACGGUCGAAGGAAAAGACACUUGACAUUAGAAAAGCUUUAGCAUACGAACAAUACGAUCUAGUGUUAUGCUUAGGAUUGGGUCUUGUCCAUCAAAUCAUUCUCCUAAUCCCCUUAUCAAUGACAUCUAAUGCCCAUGACGAGGAAACCAUGAUCAUCUAUUGACUACCGAGCUAGCCACCUAGAGGCUUGCUAGGGACACAUUGUGAUCCAUUUAUUCACACAUGUAUUACUGUUUCCUGUUAAUACAAUUAUAGCAUGAACAAUAGACGAUUCUCAUGAACAAGGAAAUACGAUAAUAACCAUUUUAUUAUUGCCUCUAGGGCAUAUUUCCAACACUUUUAUCAUGCCAUAAUUUUUUUACAGAAGAGAUAAUUAUUGUUAGUGGGGCGAGAGUUGAUGAUAUACUAUCAGUAGAUAGACUAGGGUGCAAACUAUCUUAAUAUAUGUAAAUAACAAUGCAUACCAACCUCACAUUCUUUGAGGAGCAAACUGAUAUUAUGGUUACAGUUUUUGACAAAAACAAGGAAUCUUAGUAAGCAUUGUAUAUUCAUGUUACAUGGUUUGCCGUACCUUGCGGCCAUCAGCUCAGCAUGUGCUUACAAAAUGCGUGCAUUAUCUGGCCAACCAUUCUUCCUUUUGCUACCUGAACCGACAACAUGCAUUGUAGUAAUUUCUUGUUUCUGUUAAUUCCAGAUUCUUGAAUACCUUCCUAACCUCAUACAUUCGAUCACCGGUCUGAACUUGUCGGCCAACGACCAAGAGUUCCGAGACAAAUGUACGACACUCCUCAGGAAACAUAGGUGAGACGAUCUAGCAUUCAGUAUUUAAUUAUCUUUUCCCUAUAGUCUUCUACGUGUAAUUUUGGCACUAGGUUAAUGUAAUUUCUAUUGUAUUCAUGUUGUAAAGAAUGGCUUCAGCAUCACAGGAUGUGCAAUAAUAAGGGCUAAAUUUAUCAUCCACUUUUUUGUUGCUUCUUAUUCACCCAAGUGUUGUAGUCUCUUCUCAUCACUGUAUUUGUCCAUCAGUCAUCCCUUCCCUUGUGCUUCCUUUCCUCUCGUCUUCUUCCGCAAAUCUUUGAACUUAUAGUAAGAAUAUUAUUCGUGAUGCCUCAAAAAAAAUCUGAUUGUUUAACACUGAGUACAUAAUUUUUGUAGUAAGACAUGUGAUAUUCUAGAUCUAGCCUAACUUGGGUUGAUGUUCUUAUAAGGAUAUCUUAUGUAACCAAACUAUUUGCAAUACAUCUUCUAUUUUUAGAUCAUGUUUUAGAUAUUUGGGUCAAGGGUAACUUGCAAGUUUGAAGAAAUUCCCAUUCCUAUAAUUUCUCAAAUAUAUAACUUCUUUUGCAGGGACAUGUGGAAGAAAGUAGGAAGUAUGCAAGUUGAUCUAAGAUGUUCUGAUGAUCACUUUUGUUGAUUACAUGGUUGAAACAUUUUGUUCAUACGGAUGUCUAUGUCGGCUUGGUGAUUGAAGGAUUGGUAUCUUUCAUAUGGAAGUUGAUGCGGUCUUGGUGAUUGAAGGACACGUCUCUUUCAUACAAGUUGAUGCUGACUUCGUGAUUGGGUCUGGUCUCUUUCAUAUUUUCUCUCUUAGGAGCUUGGCCCUCAUGCUUUGGACCAGCAUGUGUCUUGUAUGUCAGACCUAUGUAUUUGCUUAAUGGUUGUAGCUAACUUGAGUGAAGAAAACUAAUGAAUCUUCAAUUUACGUUGAAUAAAGCUAUUGUUCAAUGGUAUCUUGUGAUGAAUAGAAGAGUGAAAUUAUUUGUAUAUGUAUUGUGUAGUGAAUAUGAAUUGAAUAUUAUGAAUGUAAUUUCAUUCAAAUAUGGUGCAUUUGCAGUUGUUCUGAAAUGUAGAGCCCGGAC